rnacentral:rRNA from 1 species
UACGAAGGGGGGCUAGCGUUGUUCGGAAUCACUGGGCGUAAAGCGCACGUAGGCGGAUCUUUAAGUCAGGGGUGAAAUCCCGAGGCUCAACCUCGGAACUGCCUUUGAUACUGGGGAUCUCGAGUCCGGGAGAGGUGAGUGGAACUGCGAGUGUAGAGGUGAAAUUCGUAGAUAUUCGCAAGAACACCAGUGGCGAAGGCGGCUCACUGGCCCGGAACUGACGCUGAGGUGCGAAAGCGUGGGGAGCGAACGAGG